GUUGAAAAAGAUUUGUUUUGGUGAACAAUGAUAAGUCGUGUAAAUUAUCGAUAAAAUCAAACCUUUUGUCAUUCAUUUCUCCGAGUGGACAAAAAAUUAUUGCUUCUUUUAUCGUUUACAUUUUUCUAAACAAGAGACCAAGACUUACUUUGAAUUUGAACAUUUUAGGGGGAUUGGCCAUCACUGUAUAUAGCUAGAGCAAUAUUUGAUUACCUACUUUCACCUGGGCUAAAUAAACGUACCCAAUUGUAUAUCUGAUAUGUAGCUUUGGUAUUGCUUAUACAUAACGUAUAUCCAUACAGAAAGUGAUUUUAACAGCCUGUCUUAAAAAUUGAAUUAACAUUGCAAAAACAUUCCACACAAACAUCUGUACCGUUAUAUCGAGUAUUAUAAAACAUGUCCAUUGUGUUGGGGUUUUUUUUGUUUUCUUUGGGUUUUUGUUGUUGUUUUUUUUUUGGUUUUUUUUUUACAUUUCACUGUGCACAUAUAUAUUCCCUUGUACCCGUGUGAUGACCUUGAACUGAAUAUUAACAAAAGAUCCCCAAGACGGGGGGGGGGGGGUUAUCCUCUCGCAAUAAGUGUGUGCAAGCUUUUGAUGAAGUAUUGUAGUGACCCUCCAAAAUGAUAGGGUUCUCUUUUGAUACCAAUGCCAAAGUAUGAAUUACGUGAUCUGUAGAGUUUCUACAAUAUCACUGUUUCACAGACAAACGUUUCCGUCACUAUAUCCCCUCUCACAAUGGAUUGCGAAGGGAUAAAACAUUCGAUUACUACAUUUGUUUUAAAAGAUAUAUCUUGAUCAAAAAUGUGCUUUUCUGCGUAAUAAAAUCGGGAACUAUUUUACUUAUUUAUUCAUUAGCGACGCACAACAGGAAAAAAUCUUCUUUUCUUUUUCGUAAUACAAUAGGGGACUAUUUUAUUUAUUUAUUUUUAGCGAUGCACACCAGAAAAAUGCAAUAUAUCCCGUAAUGCAAUAGGGGACUAUUUUAUUUAUUUAUUUAUUUUUAGCGUUGCACAACAGAAAAAAUGCACUUUUUUCCGUAAUACAUUAGGGGACUAUCUUAUUAUUUUUUUACGAUGCACAACAGAAAAAUUGCAGUUUUCUACGUAAUACCAUAGGGGGCUAUUUUAUUUCUUUAGCAAUGCACAAGGGACAACAGAAUGCAUGUUAAAACGAACAAAAUGAUUCGAUAAUAUUGAUAUUUGCGGAUUCAAAUUCUUUCGUUCUAUAGAAGACGCGGACAAGAAGUAGAAGAAUGAAGCAACAAAUCAUACAGGACGUCAAUCAUAUGAUAAUAGUGAGGAAUUACUGUGCGUCGUAAAUAAGGGUUAGUGUUAGAGGUAGGGUUACGAUUAGAACUAGUCUAAAACGUUCAAAGACAAAUUGAAUAGUACUGGUCCCCACUGCUAAUAAUAUUCCUAUUCUGAAACUACAGUACCCCUUGCUUGUCGUAAGAGGCGAUUAAAUGGGGCGAUCCUUCAGAUGAGACCGCAAAAACCGAGGCCACGUAUCACAGUAGGUGCCGCACGAUAAAGACCCCUCCCUGCUUUAAGGCCGUAAGCGCCGAGCAUAGACCUAAAUUUUGCAACCCUUCACCGGCAAUGAUGUCGUCUCCAUAUGAGUGGAAAAAUUCUGAGGACCUACACUAACCCUGAUCCCCACGGAACCGUAUCUUAAUAAAGAUGAGUCUUAAAAUUUAGCGCCGAAACUGCUUGACGUUUGUCAUGUGACCAUAGCAUACGAUUUCAGAAAUCAACUUUCGUUUUCAGUUGUGCCUGUUAAUGCAUGAACUUUCUUUUCCAUUUCAUGGAACAUUGUGACCUUCAGUUCGUGUCGCAAUGCGCAACAAUAGUUAUGUACUGAAACUAUGGAACAAUAUAGAAUAAGGUAACAGUACACAAUAUCAUCGUUCUGGUGAUUCAGAGAAUGAUACAUGUUUGCAUAACCGACUGCGGCUCGACAUUAUUUCGUGCUAUAUUUAGUGUACAUCGAUAGAUCACGGAAUUCUGGGAAAUAUUUGCAACAGCAAUAUGUAAGGAGAGUAGAUUAAAGAAAAAAUGAACCAACAGGAAGCCAUUAUAUUUUGGAAUGCGCAUUGAAUUCGAUAAAGUUUGGAUACAUUGUAACACCACAGGUAUAAGCCAAAGGAAGCAAAUCGAUCUAGAUUGUUCGAACAUGUAUGGCAGAUGAGUUCAUCCGACGCAUUGCUAUACUAUCCUUUGUUUUGAACAUAUUUUAUUUCAUAAUACACACAGAUGGAUUGGAUACACGUUCUUCCAACUUAAUGGACGUCUCGAAUAUAAAAAUACAAUGUAUUUAUAAAAUAAAAGAAUGUCAUACAAACAUUUUAGAAUUCAACUAUAUUUUGAAAAUUUUAUAUACUAUUCCAAACCUCAAAGAAUCUCUAAUGUACGUCUGUACCUUGAACCCAAAAGAUUUUUUGACUGCCUUUUAUAGGAGUGUGCUGACUCACCAAGGUAACUGUCAGGAAAUGAAAAUAGAAAAUGUGGAUAAUUGAAUCAUAUAAAAACAAUUAGAUAGCUCAAAGAAUCGAAAUUGUUAUAAUCGGUCAACAGGAGAUGCUUACUCCUCUUAGGCACCUGAUCUUACCUUUGGUAUGUCCGGGGUUACUAGUGUUUGCCUAACUCUUAAUUUGUUAAUCUUUAGGGGAUUUAUGAGAUUCAUCAAUGUUUGUUACCUUCAUUUUUUUUCCAUUCAAUAGACCAGCAUUAGGACUUGAUAACUCCACAUGCAAGAUAGUAUACACUUGAUAUGUUCACUAGGCUCUUUGGUCUAUUCUAUAUUUUCGAUUCUUAUGUUGUAUUCUCGAGUUUUUACACUCACGUAGAUACCUCACCAACGUUAGGUAAAGUGCCACAAACUUUGACCUAUACAUGACGCUUACAUGUACGACCGUAGCUCUUGGGUUCUUUAUCGUCUCAACGCCUACUGUGACGCGCAAACUUACCUGUUGAAGGUCAUGUCCGAAAGACCCACGACGCACAUUUCUAAUUCCGGCCUCUUGAAGAGGAAACAGUUAAAACCUCUGAUACAUUUCCUAGGUUUAACACGAAGCCGAGAUAAAGCAUCGAAACUGGGCUUCCUGGCUGCGAGUCCAGCACACUAAGCAGGAUACCUCUACUGGUCACUGAUCAGGGACGAAAUGUAAAGGAAUUUAAACUCUUUGAUUGUGUUAACAUAUAUACACAUGAUAUUUGAUAUAGAUAUAAAUUGCGACUGAUUGCAUCUGAAUAACACCGUGAAUAGAACAGGGGUAGUCGGAAUACUAAUAACAUUGAUACGUUCCUAGGUCAUACAUGUAGACAAAAA